rnacentral:rRNA from 1 species
UACGUAGGGUGCAAGCGUUAUCCGGAAUUAUUGGGCGUAAAGAGCUCGUAGGCGGUUUGUCGCGUCUGCUGUGAAAACUGGGGGGCUCAACCCCCCAGCCUGCAGUGGGUACGGGCAGACUAGAGUGCGGUAGGGGAGAUUGGAAUUCCUGGUGUAGCGGUGGAAUGCGCAGAUAUCAGGAGGAACACCGAUGGCGAAGGCAGAUCUCUGGGCCGUAACUGACGCUGAGGAGCGAAAGCAUGGGGAGCGAACAGG